rnacentral:rRNA from 1 species
AUAGGCGAAGCGUGCGAUUGGAUUGCACGUCUAAGCAGUAAGGCUGAGUAUUAGGCAAAUCCGGUACUCGUUAAGGCUGAGCUGUGAUGGGGAGAAGACAUUGUGUCUUCGAGUCGUUGAUUUCACACUGCCGAGAAAAGCCUCUAGAUAGAAAAUAGGUGCCCGUACCGCAAACCGACACAGGUAGUCAAGAUGAGAAUUCUAAGGUGAGCGAGCGAACUCUCGUUAAGGAACUCGGCAAAAUGACCCCGUAACUUCGGGAGAAGGGGUGCUCUUUAGGGUUAACGCCCAGAAGAGCCGCAGUGAAUAGGCCCAAGCGACUGUUUAUCAAAAACACAGGUCUCUGCUAAACCGUAAGGUGAUGUAUAGGGGCUGACGCCUGCCCGGUGCUGGAAGGUUAAGAGGAGUGGUUAGCUUCUGCGAAGCUACGAAUCGAAGCCCCAGUAAACGGCGGCCGUAACUAUAACGGUCCUAAGGUAGCGAAAUUCCUUGUCGGGUAAGUUCCGACCCGCACGAAAGGCGUAACGAUUUGGGCACUGUCUCAACGAGAGACUCGGUGAAAUCAUAGUACCUGUGAAGAUGCAGGUUACCCGCGACAGGACGGAAAGACCCCGUGGAGCUUUACUGUAGCCUGAUAUUGAAAUUCGGCACAGCUUGUACAGGAUAGGUAGGAGCCUUUGAAACGUGAGCGCUAGCUUACGUGGAGGCGCUGGUGGGAUACUACCCUAGCUGUGUUGGCUUUCUAACCCGCACCACUUAUC